rnacentral:piRNA from 1 species
CCUAACCACUUGGGUUACUUAUAACCCUCAA